rnacentral:misc_RNA from 1 species
AAGAAGCUGAAAGAACAUGAGGUAAUUUGGGGGCUGUGGGCCAGUAGUUUUGGCAUAAUGAAACAUUUCUAUAUAUGAGUAGUUGAUUAAGUUACUGAUGCUUAUCAUGUUGAUCUAACAUUCAAGAAGAAAAUAUUGCUUCUAAUUGUGAUUUAUCGUUUGGCUUGAUUUAUUCUUACCAUUAGCUAAUGAAGUGCAUUGUACAUUAUACCUUUUAUUUUGCAAUUUCCCUGAUUAAAUGUGCAAAAGGAGAGCAGCAAUGAAUAGGAGAAAAUAUAUGUAUUUAUUUGUAUGCAAUACCUAUACCUGGUGAAUUAUACCAUUAUUAUGUAUAUGGGUGACAGAACACUACAUCAUGUCUCAUAUUUUUGGCAACUUGUCUUGGUGUUAUGAUUUCCAGCGUCGU